rnacentral:lncRNA from 1 species
UUCUUCCAUCCUCCAAAAACUUAGAAAGGGAGGGAGUGAUCUAGAGCUAGAGGGAGAGGAGAAGAAGAAGAAAAGCUGUAAGAAACAUCAAAUUUUCAGUAAGAAAUUUAAUAUUUACUUUUAAAUGUAUUAAGGAGCAUUUCUAUAAUGAAAAUUAACGAUGUUUAAACUUAUGAUGUGCAUGGUUGAAUUUUAUGCCUAAAAAGAAGUAAUUUUAUAUGAUAAUGCAUGUUUUAUAAUCAUAUAUGAACUUGUUAAUUUGCCCGUGUAAUUUAUAUGAUCCGAUGGUCGAAAUAAAUGUUGAUAAGUGAUGAUAUUGACAAUAAAAAAUGAUUAAGCAAGAAAUGAUGUAUAAACAUGAGAAAUAUAUAUUGGUAUUGGCAUGCAUAAUUCAUAAGUGUUUCAUUAAACUUUUUAUCUACGAGGAGUUUCUAUUUCUCCCUCCAUCUAGUUUGAAAAGAUGUGAGAUGAGCACUUCCUGUGGAUGACGGCGUACCCUCUAACGAGAGUAAUAACGUGAUAUGAUUGUAGGGGUCACCUUUGACGAAAUAUGGUCGUGAUCAUAGUUAACAUGUAGGACCAUUGUGGUUGGCACGACCGUGAUCAUGAAUCGUGUCUUGAUCUAGCAAGCUGUAAAUGUGUUGUUGGUUUAGUAAGCCAUAAAUAUAUUGUUAGUUUAGCAAGCUGUAAAUGUAUUUUUGGUUUAAUAAGCCGUAAAUGUAUUGUUAGUUUGGCAAGCUGCAAAUUUUUGUUAUAAAGAAAAUGAAUUGGUCAUUUCAUAUGGGUAGCCGGGAAUUCAUAUUACCCUCAGUAGAUGAAAAUUGGAAC